UAGGGAAUAUUGCAAAAUGGGCGAAAGCCCGAUGCAGCAACGCCGCGUGGGCGAUGAAGGCCUUCGGGUCGUAAAGCCCUUUUUGAGGGGAUGAGGAAGGACAGUACCCUCAGAAUGAGCCUCGGCUAACUACGUGCCAGCAGCCGCGGUAAAACGUAGGAGGCGAGCGUUAUCCGGAUUUACUGGGCGUACAGCGCGUGCAGGCGGAUUGGAGAGUUGGAUGUGAAAGCUCCCGGCUUAACUGGGAGAGGUCGUUCAAUACUUCCAGUCUUGAGUGCAGUAGAGGGAAGUGGAAUUCCGGGUGUAGUGGUGAAAUGCGUAGAUAUCCGGAGGAACACCAGUGGCGAGAGCGGCUUCCUGAACUGUAACUGACGCUCAGACGCGAAAGCUAGGGUAGCAAACG
rnacentral:rRNA from 1 species